UUCCCUUUGUGGCUGGUGUACAGGUGGUGCAUGGUUGUCGUCAGCUCGUGUCGUGAGAUGUUGGGUUAAGUCCCGCAACGAGCGCAACCCUUGUCUUAUGUUGCCAGCAUUUGGUUGGGGACUCAUGAGAGACUGCCGGGGUUAACUCGGAGGAAGGUGGGGAUGACGUCAAAUCAUCAUGCCCCUUAUGUCCAGGGCUUCACACAUGCUACAAUGGUCGGUACAACGCGUUUGCGAGCUCGUGAGGGUGGGCUAAUCGCUGAAAGCCGGUCGUAGUUCGGAUUGGGGUCUGCAACUCGACCCCAUGAAGUCGGAGUCGCUAGUAAUCGCAGAUCAGCAACGCUGCGGUGAAUACGUUCCCGGGCCUUGUACACACCGCCCGUCACGUCAUGAAAGUUGGUAACACCCGAAGCCCAUGGCCCAAACUUGUUAGGGAGUGGUCGAAGGUGGGAUCGGCGAUUGGGACGAAGUCGUAACAAGGUAGCCGUACCGGAAGGUGCGGCUGG
rnacentral:rRNA from 1 species